ensembl:miRNA
GCGACUGCGUGCGGCAGAGUGGUUCCGAAACACCGACUUCUCUACCGGCGCACGUCGCUGU